GGACAGGAGAACAGCACUACUCAUUCAGUGAGUGAAUGGGGACAGGAGAACAGCACUACUCAUUCAGUGAGUGAAUGGGGACAGGAGAACAGCACUACUCAUUCAGUGAGUGAAAGGGGACAGGAGAACAGCAUUGACUAUUGAAAUCAUUUAAUGCUUUUAAAAACAAAUACAAGUUACUUCACUGGAUCAUCACAUGUGAACAAGAAUAGAUUUUUUUCCACCAAUAUUUGUAAUAACACCCUCAGACAUAUUUCCCAUUCACAUGGCUGCAUACAGACAACUUCUCUCUCUUUUUAUUUCGUUGCAGUUGAUUAUUUACAGUCAAUCUAAGGAAUGCAUCGGCUCUGUGACAAUAAUAGCUCAUAUCGGCAGCAUAUUAAAACCUUGCUGUUUGGGAUGCAAAAUUCCGGUAACUUUCCCCCAAGAUUCCCAGGUUUUCCAGACAUUCCAGUUGGAAGAUUUCUGGAAUCAGGAGGGAACAAGCAGAAUGUGAACGCGACCUACUGUGCUGGAGUGGUCAGAUUCAGGUGGAUGAUGGUGGUAACACUAAUUUAUGCAUAUCAACUCAAUCUAGCCAUCAAAGGUAGGGGUGAACAUUUCCAGUAACUUCCGCCAAAUUCCCAGAAGUCCAGACUGGAGUUACCAGAAUUUUGCAAACCUAAUCAUAGUUGAUCUGUAUUAUAUAUGUUUGCAGUCAAAAUAGGUCUGUUGUUGUGGGUUGAUAGGUCUGUUAUUGUGGGGACGAUAGGUCUAUUGUUGUGGGGAUGAUAGAUCUGUUGUUGUGGGUUGAUAGGUCUGUUGUUGUGGGGGAGAUAGGUCUGUUGUUGUGGGUUGAUAGAUAUGUUGUUGUGGGGAGAUAGGUCUGUUGUUGUGGGGGAGAUAGGUCUGUUGUUGUGGGGACGAUAGGUCUGUUGUUGUGAGGAUGAUAGGUCUGUUGUUGUGGGUUGAUAGGUCUGUUGUUGUGGGUUGAUAGGUCUGUUGUUGUGGGGAGAUAUGUUGUUGUGGGGAUGAUAGGUCUGUUGUUGUGGGUUGAUAUGUCUGUUGUUGUGGGGACGAUAGGUCUAUUGUUGUGGGGACAAUAGGUCUGUUGUUAUGGGGAUGAUAGGUCUGUUGUUGUGGGGAUGAUAGGUAUGUUGUUGUGGGUUGAUAUGUCUGUUGUUGUGGGGACGAUAGGUCUGUUGUUGUGGGGGAGAUAGGUCUGUUGUUGUGGGGACGAUAUGUCUGUUGAUUUGUGGGUUGAUAGGUCUGUUGUUGUGGGGACAAUAGGUCUGUUGUUGUGGGGACAAUAGGUCUGUUGUUGUGGGUUGAUAGGUCUGUUGUUGUGGGUUGGUAGGUCUGUUGUGGGGACGAUUGGUCUGUUGUUGUGGGGAGAUUGGUAUGUUGUUGUGGGGAGAUAUGUCUGUUGUUGUGGGGACGAUUGGUCUGUUGUUGUGGGUUGAUAGGUCUGUUGUUGUGGGGACGAUAGGUCUGUUGUUGUGGGUUGAUAGGUCUGUUGUUGUGGGUUGAUAGGUCUGUUGUUGUGGGGACGAUAGGUCUGUUGUUGUGGGUUGAUAGGUCUGUUGUUGUGGGUUGAUAGGUCUGUUGUUGUGGGUUGAUAGGUCUGUUGUUGUGGGGGAGAUAGGUCUGUUGUUUUAGGGACGAUAGGUCUGUUGUUUAUUGAACAGGCAGGAGGGCCCCUAAAUAAAACCCAUCUAUAAUCUCAACUUCAAUAUUAUAUACAUUAUUUACAAUGGAAUGUUGGGCUGAAGCUUUCAGACUUAAUGCUAUUGUAUACAAAAGAGUUGAAGCCUUCAGACUUAAUGCUAUUGUAUACAAAAGAGUUGAAGCCUUCAGACUUAAUGCUAUUGUAUACAAAAGAGUUGAAGCCUUCAGACUUAAUGCUAUUGUAUACAAAAGAGUUGAAGCCUUCAGACUUAAUGCUAUUGUAUACAAAAGUAUAUUGAGGGAAUGACAAUGAAAAACAAGAUAGAGAAUAAUUUUUACAACAACCAUAAUCUAUGGAUUCAAGGACAACACCAAUACCUAAUUCUGUCAUUCUCCCAUGUUUUUUUAAUCAUUUCAGGUCAAGUAUGGCAGUGGUUCCUAAAAGGAACAAAACAUUGAUUUGUGCUUGAAAAGAAAUAUAAUUGACUUCAGUUAUGGAAAUGCUUUGGGCACUGGGACACCGUUGUGUCCUAAGGGUGUUUGAAUUAUACCAAAUCUCUCAAUUACUGUGGGAAUCAUUCUGUUUUCAACUCUGCAGACGUUCUCCAGCCAUUUAGGUGUUUUCACGGGGAAUCAAAGUGCUGGAGGGUUGAAGUGAAGAGGAAGUAACAUCUAAUGUCUCUCCUUUCUCUGUCAUGUGAUAGGACAUUAUGGAAGCUGUUUCUGACAUCACAGAGAUACAAGCUAUAUUAGGAUCAUUCCUCCUCAACUUUAACGUCAAAGAGAACUUCUCUUCUUCAUCUACGGUAAAUCAUUCUUUAUAUGCAAUAUAUUUGAACAAAACCUCACUUCUCACAAAAGGCAUAGGCCCUAACAUACCCGAAGGAAUAAGAAAAUAAAGGAUCAUGUAUGGUCUCUUUCAUAAAACGUGUUGCAUGUGGUUUUCUUUCAGAAUCAUUGCAGCAGAAAUAAAGAACACAAGGCGAAAAUAACAAUGGUUUAACGCCGUUAUAGUUCUCAUCUUUAAAGUCUAACACAUAGUGGUGGUUCAGAAUCAGAAUCACAUUAUAGUGGUGGUUCAGAAUCAGAAUCACAUUAUAGUGGUGGUUCAGAAUCAGAAUCACAUUAUAGUGGUGGUUCAGAAUCAGAAUCACAUUAUAGUGGUGGUUCAGAAUCAGAAUCACAUUAUAGUGGUGGUUCAGAAUCAGAAUCAACACAUUAUAGUGGUGGUUCAGAAUCAGAAUCAACACAUUAUAGUGGUUGUUCAGAAUCAGAAUCACAUUAUAGUGGUGGUUCAGAAUCAGAAUCACAUUAUAGCGGUGGUUCAGAAUCAGAAUCACAUUAUAGUGGUGGUUCAGAAUCAGAAUCACAUUAUAGU
ensembl:lncRNA